UGAACGCUGGCGGCGUGCCUAAUACAUGCACGUCGAGCGAACAGACGAGGAGCUUGCUCCUCUGACGUUAGCGGCGGACGGGUGAGUAACACGUGGAUAACCUACCUAUAAGACUGGGAUAACUUCGGGAAACCGGAGCUAAUACCGGAUAAUAUAUUGAACCGCAUGGUUCAAUAGUGAAAGACGGUUUUGCUGUCACUUAUAGAUGGAUCCGCGCCGCAUUAGCUAGUUGGUAAGGUAACGGCUUACCAAGGCAACGAUGCGUAGCCGACCUGAGAGGGUGAUCGGCCACACUGGAACUGAGACACGGUCCAGACUCCUACGGGAGGCAGCAGUAGGGAAUCUUCCGCAAUGGGCGAAAGCUUGACGGAGUAACGCCGCGUGAGUGAUGAAGGUCUUCGGAUCGUAAAACUCUGUUAUUAGGGAAGAACAAAUGUGUAAGUAACUAUGCACGUCUUGACGGUACCUAAUCAGAAAGCCACGGCUAACUACGUG
rnacentral:rRNA from 1 species